AUUGAACGCUGGCGGCAGGCCUAACACAUGCAAGUCGAGCGGAUGAAGGGAGCUUGCUCCUGGAUUCAGCGGCGGACGGGUGAGUAAUGCCUAGGAAUCUGCCUGGUAGUGGGGGAUAACGUCCGGAAACGGGCGCUAAUACCGCAUACGUCCUGAGGGAGAAAGUGGGGGAUCUUCGGACCUCACGCUAUCAGAUGAGCCUAGGUCGGAUUAGCUAGUUGGUGGGGUAAAGGCCUACCAAGGCGACGAUCCGUAACUGGUCUGAGAGGAUGAUCAGUCACACUGGAACUGAGACCCGGUCCAGACUCCUACGGGAGGCAGCAGUCGGGAAUAUUGGACAAUGGGCGAAAGCCUGAUCCAGCCAUGCCGCGUGUGUGAAGAAGGUCUUCGGAUUGUAAAGCACUUUAAGUUGGGAGGAAGGGCAGUAAGUUAAUACCUUGCUGUUUUGACGUUACCAACAGAAUAAGCACCGGCUAACUUCGUG
rnacentral:rRNA from 1 species